AGCUACAGGCUUAACACAUGCAAGUCGAGGGGCAGCAUCAUCAAAGCUUGCUUUGAUGGAUGGCGACCGGCGCACGGGUGAGUAACACGUAUCCAACCUGCCGACAACACUGGGAUAGCCUUUCGAAAGAAAGAUUAAUACCGGAUGGCAUAGUUUUCCCGCAUGGGAUAAUUAUUAAAGAAUUUCGGUUGUCGAUGGGGAUGCGUUCCAUUAGGCAGUUGGCGGGGUAACGGCCCACCAAACCAACGAUGGAUAGGGGUUCUGAGAGGAAGGUCCCCCACAUUGGAACUGAGACACGGUCCAAACUCCUACGGGAGGCAGCAGUGAGGAAUAUUGGUCAAUGGACGAGAGUCUGAACCAGCCAAGUAGCGUGAAGGAUGACUGCCCUAUGGGUUGUAAACUUCUUUUAUACGGGAAUAAAGUGAGCCACGUGUGGCUUUUUGUAUGUACCGUAUGAAUAAGGAUCGGCUAACUCCGUGCCAGCAGCCGCGGUAAUACGGAGGAUCCGAGCGUUAUCCGGAUUUAUUGGGUUUAAAGGGAGCGUAGGCGGGUUGUUAAGUCAGUUGUGAAAGUUUGCGGCUCAACCGUAAAAUUGCAGUUGAUACUGGCGACCUUGAGUGCAACAGAGGUAGGCGGAAUUCGUGGUGUAGCGGUGAAAUGCUUAGAUAUCACGAAGAACUCCGAUUGCGAAGGCAGCUUACUGGAUUGUAACUGACGCUGAUGCUCGAAAGUGUGGGUAUCAAACAGGAUUAGAUACCCUGGUAGUCCACACAGUAAACGAUGAAUACUCGCUGUUGGCGAUAUACAGUCAGCGGCCAAGCGAAAGCAUUAAGUA
rnacentral:rRNA from 1 species